UACGUAGGGGGCAAGCGUUGUCCGGAAUCAUUGGGCGUAAAGCGCGCGUAGGCGGCCCGGUAAGUCCGUUGUGAAAGUCAAAGGCUCAACCUUUGAACGCCGAUGGAUACUGCCGGGCUAGAGUCCGGAAGAGGCGAGUGGAAUUCCUGGUGUAGCGGUGAAAUGCGCAGAUAUCAGGAGGAACACCGGUGGCGAAGGCGGGUCUCUGGGCCGAUACUGACGCUGAGGAGCGAAAGCGUGGGGAGCGAACAGG
rnacentral:rRNA from 1 species